UGUGGAAGUUGAGAAAGCAUUGUUCUCUUCCCCAUCAGCUUGAUUCAUUCUUCUCCUUCUCUUUUUCUCAAUUACUCAACUAAUUUAACUUAAAUCUUCCCCUAAUCAUUACCAUAGCCGAUUUAUUAAAGAAAUUUGAAGUAAAUAGAUUGUUUGCAAUCUUAUUUCCUCAUUUUAGGGUUUCGAAUUUUGAAGCUCAAGACCCGUCGACUGUUCGUACUUCAGAGGCGAACCAGAGUUAGACUGCUUGUCAGGUUUCACGUGGAAUAGCAAGCAGUGAGUUUAUAUCUCUAUUUAUCUCUUUAUUAAGCAAAUAUUAUAUUUUGUAUAUGUAUAUGUAUAAACAGCUUUUGAACUGUUUUUCGGCAUUGUGGAUUUGAUUUGGAACGUGCUACUCGAUGGGCAUCUUCGGGACUGCGUGCGCACCGGUAAUGAUUAUUAUGGUAUUGAGGUAGGUUUGAGAUACGUCUCACCUUAGUGAGGGCACCGGUGGAAGAUACGUCUCCUGGGCUCACUGUUUAUUAAGUGAUAGUCGGGGAUCGGUUAUUGAGAUACGUCUCACCGACACGACAAUGGAUUUAGAAUUGUGGUUUAGGGUUUCAUUGAUAAUCCAUAAUGAAAAUGUUUUAUUAAACGUUUUAAAGUUUUUUUUUAACUUAAUAAAUGUAAAUGGUUAUAUAAACUCUACUCAGUAAAUCUGAUCCCGUUGUUUUUUCCAAAUUUUCCAGGUUUGUGAUUGAGCAUUUGGUCGAUCUCCGAUUCUUCAUUCUCGGAGGUUCUUUAUUUAUUUCAGAAAUAAAAGAGUCGAACUGUUUUAAACUCUUAGACCGCAGUAGUAGUAUUAGUUUAUUUA